AUGGCGACGCCCUGCCGCAUCCGCCGCCUGCUCGUCCUGCUCGCCGCCGUCGCCGUCGCGGCGUCUCACCCGGCACACGAGUUCUGCGCGGCCGCGGGAGGAGGAGGAGGAGGCGCCGGCGGCUGCGGAGGAGGAGGGGACGGCACGAGGAUCCUGAUCAAGGGCGGGACGAUGGUGAACGCGCACCGGGCGGAGGAGGCCGACGUCUACAUCGAGGACGGCGUCGUCGUCGCCGUCCGGCCGAACAUCCCGGUUGGUGACGAUAAUGUCAAAGUGAUCGAUGCAACCGGAAAAUAUGUCAUGCCAGGUGGAAUUGACCCGCACACCCACCUGGAGAUGGAGUUCAUGGGAACUGUAACCAUAGAUGACUUCUAUAGUGGUCAUGCAGCAGCCCUGGCUGGUGGGACGACAAUGCACAUUGACUUUGUCAUUCCAGUGAAUGGAAACUUGACUGCAGGCUUGGAAUCCUACAAACACAAAGCAGAAAAAUCUGCUAUGGAUUAUGGAUUUCACAUGGCCAUUACCAAGUGGAAUGAUGAGGUUUCAAGGGAAAUGGAAGUGAUGGUCAAGGAACAUGGGAUCAAUUCUUUCAAGUUCUUCAUGGCAUAUAAAGGUUCAUUGAUGGUGACGGACGACCUCCUCCUUCAAGGCUUACAGAAAUGCAAGUCUCUUGGUGCACUGGCUAUGGUUCAUGCAGAGAACGGGGAUGCUGUUGCUGAGGGACAGCAGCGGAUGAUUGAUCUUGGGAUAACUGGUCCAGAAGGGCAUGCUCUCUCAAGACCUCCAGUUUUGGAAGGCGAAGCAACUUCACGGGCAAUUCGAUUAGCAAAAUUCGUCAAUACACCGUUGUAUGUUGUUCACGUGAUGAGCACUGAUGCAAUGGAGGAGAUUGCCAAGGCUAAAAGAGAAGGCCAGAGAGUCAUUGGUGAACCUGUGGUAUCUGGGCUAGUCCUUGAUGAUUCUUGGCUUUGGGAUCCUGACUUCGCAACUGCUUCAAAGUAUGUGAUGAGUCCUCCAAUCCGGGAAGCGGGGCAUAAUAAAGCGCUUCAAGCUGCUCUUUCAUCAGGGAUAUUACAGCUUGUGGGAACUGAUCAUUGCACCUUCAAUUCCACUCAGAAAGCUUUCGGUUCUGAUGAUUUCAGGAAGAUUCCCAAUGGCGUAAAUGGUAUUGAAGAAAGGAUGCAUAUAAUUUGGGAUAGCAUGGUGGAGACCGGCAAGAUCACAGUCACCGAUUAUGUGAGAGUGACAAGCACAGAAUGUGCCAAGAUCUUCAACAUAUACCCGCGAAAAGGAGCAAUCCUCGAGGGAUCUGAUGCAGACAUCAUCGUCCUGAACCCCAAGAGGAGCUUCGCAAUGGGCACGCGCACACACCAUACGAGGUCCGACACGAACGUGUACGAGGGCAGGAAAGGAAAGGGAAUGGUAGAGGUGACCAUCUCAAGAGGGCGAGUGGUGUGGGAGGAUGGCAAUCUGAACGCCGUGCCCGGUGCAGGAAGAUACGUCAGGACACCGCCUUUCGGAUACCUCUUCGACGGCCUUGACAAGUCGGACGCCGUCUACAGGGCUUCCCUCCGAGCACCUGUACAGCGUGGUGAGGCUGCUGCUGCUGCUGCUUAA
rnacentral:rRNA from 1 species